rnacentral:rRNA from 1 species
GACGAACCGUCCAAACGUUUAUUCGGAAUCACUGGGCUUACAGAGUUCGUAGGCGGUCUGGAAAGUUGGGUGUGAAAUCCCUCGGCUCAACCGAGGAACUGCGCUUGAAACUACCAGACUCGAGGGAGAUAGAGGAAAGCGGAACUGAUGGUGGAGCGGUGAAAUGCGUUGAUAUCAUCAGGAACACCGGUGGCGAAGGCGGCUUUCUGGGUCUUACCUGACGCUGAGGAACGAAAGCCAGGGGAGCGAACGGG